ACGAGACCAGGUGAAAACAAAUACCUAGCGAGCAAGACAAAGACAGAAAUGGGAGAUAAAGAAAACAUGAAACAAAACUCAACACAGAUCGCGACAGAAUGUUGAAUUUUGCGUCUCCAAACAGUGGGCGUCCAGGAGCAUGACGUGGACGAAGAGGCCGGCCGCCGAGAUGACGUCGCCGUUUUUGUUCAGGAGGGGAACGUGGCGAUAACCUGGGAAAAGCGAGCGGCAGGCAGUACUGGCCGACGUGAUCGUUGGGCGACGUGGCGUCGUAGUCCUCCACCACCAGUCGCAAAAUGGCCAGCUCGGGCACGUAGAUGUCGAACUGGAAACGCUCGUUCCACAUGGGGUUGAACCCUGA